rnacentral:rRNA from 1 species
CUCGUGUCGUGAGAUGUUGGGUUAAGUCCCGCAACGAGCGCAACCCUUGCCUUUAGUUGCCAGCAUUAAGUUGGGCACUCUAGAGGGACUGCCAGGGAUAACCUGGAGGAAGGUGGGGAUGACGUCAAAUCAUCAUGCCCCUUAUGCUUAGGGCUACACACGUGCUACAAUGGGUGGUACAGAGGGCAGCCAAGUCGUGAGGCGGAGCUAAUCCCUUAAAGCCAUUCUCAGUUCGGAUUGUAGGCUGAAACUCGCCUACAUGAAGCUGGAGUUACUAGUAAUCGCAGAUCAGAAUGCUGCGGUGAAUGCGUUCCC